rnacentral:rRNA from 1 species
GACGAACGCUGGCGGCGUGCUUAACACAUGCAAGUCGAACGGAAAGGCCCUGCUUUUGUGGGGUGCUCGAGUGGCGAACGGGUGAGUAACACGUGAGUAACCUGCCCUUGACUUUGGGAUAACUUCAGGAAACUGGGGCUAAUACCGGAUAGGAGCUCCUGCUGCAUGGUGGGGGUUGGAAAGUUUCGGCGGUUGGGGAUGGACUCGCGGCUUAUCAGCUUGUUGGUGGGGUAGCGGCUUACCAAGGCUUUGACGGGUAGCCGGCCUGAGAGGGUGACCGGCCACAUUGGGACUGAGAUACGGCCCAGACUCCUACGGGAGGCAGCAGUGGGGAAUAUUGCACAAUGGGCGGAAGCCUGAUGCAGCAACGCCGCGUGCGGGAUGACGGCCUUCGGGUUGUAAACCGCUUUCGCCUGUAACGAAGCGUGAGUGACGGUAAUGGGUAAAGAAGCACCGGCUAACUACGUG